rnacentral:rRNA from 1 species
UACGUAGGGUGCGAGCGUUAAUCGGAAUUACUGGGCGUAAAGCGUGCGCAGGCGGUUCGUUGUGUCUGAUGUGAAAGCCCCGGGCUCAACCUGGGAAUGGCAUUGGAAACUGGCGAGCUAGAGUGUGGCAGAGGGGGGUGGAAUUCCGCGUGUAGCAGUGAAAUGCGUAGAGAUGCGGAGGAACACCGAUGGCGAAGGCAGCCCCCUGGGCUGACACUGACGCUGAGGAGCGAAAGCAUGGGGAGCGAACAGG